ACAAAGUGUGUAUUUUACUUCGAAGAAAAGCUCUGUUGCAGAAAUAAAGACACUGCUGUAUUCACAGAAUGAAAACGUCGCCUUUCCUUGAGCUUUUUCGGGUUGGAUAUGAUUCGCACUAAAUAAUGGGAAUUUUGAAGUUUUUGGGCAGGAUAAGCUUGACUCAGCUGCUGGAAUUAUCUAUGAAAUGCAACGAAGUUCCAGUCUUCAUUCUGGUCGCUGCCUCGACAGAUCCAUUGGAGAAACAGUAAUGUGCCGUAUGUUUCUGUGCUUUUCCGUGUACUGUAGGUGCGUGCAAAACUUUUUGUACACUGUUUAUUUGUAAAAGCUUUUAGCGUAAAUGUAUCCGUGCUUUGAGACUUUGUCAUUUAAAUCCAUGUUACUUUUCACUUCAGAUCCUGUGCAUCUGUCGUAUGCAAUGGAAUGCGUUGUUUAACGUUGCAUGCUAAUGUUUUUGUACUCUGCUUACUUGUAAAAAGUCUUUAGUGUUAAUGUAGCCUUGCUUUGACGCUUUGUAAUUUAAAAGGUGUUAAUUUUCAUUUCGAAUCUGUGCAUCGCUCGUACUGGAAUGCUUUGUUUUGUAUGCAG